UAAUGAAGGUGUUGGUCUUGCCACCCAGAUUUAGCCAAGUGGAGUUGCAUGUGUGAUUCCGUAUAUCCUGACAAAUUUAUAUCUGACUUGCCUGCCUCCUGCAUGUGAAUGUGUUAUGUUUUGUCAUGUAAUGUAUAAAUCACCCUCUCUCAUUCUAUAAAACAACGUCUUGGCUUCUUCUAUUUCACUCCCACUUUUUCCAUUCUAGUUUCUCUUAUUAUUGGUCUCUUUGAGGCUGCUCUUUUGCUCUCUUCCUUCCCAACACAACAUAAGUUAUUCUGGUUUUUGGUGGCGGCGGCGGCGGCGGCGGGGGCGCUGUCUGAAAUUCAACAAGUCUCGUAAUCCGACAUGGCGACCAAAGGGUUCGUUUUGUAUCUGCUGUCCGGUUUUUCGAUAGCAGUUCUCUCUGUUUUGUUCAUCCAAAAAAGCAACAACGACGACAUGAACCAAAGCUCAAAUCUCUUAGAGUCCCCAUAUAAUUUAUCCACCACUGAAAAAGUUUGGCCUGCAUUGGAGUUGAACUGGAGGCUUGUAAUGGCGACGGUGAUAGGGUUUCUAGGAUCAGCAUGUGGUACGGUGGGCGGCGUUGGCGGCGGCGGCAUUUUUGUUCCAAUGCUUACCUUGAUUGUUGGAUUUGAUACCAAAUCUGCCGCUGCUAUUUCCAAAUGCAUGAUCAUGGGGGCAUCAGCAUCGUCAGUUUGGUAUAAUCUUAGAGUGCCGCAUCCCACAAAGGAAGUGCCAAUCAUUGACUACGAUUUGGCUCUUCUUUUCCAGCCUAUGUUGAUGCUUGGCAUCACUGUUGGGGUUGCCUUGAGCGUCGUUUUCCCUUAUUGGCUCAUUACUGUGCUCAUCAUCAUACUCUUCUUAGGUACGUCUUCAAGGUCUUUCUAUAGGGGUAUUGAAAUGUGGAAAGAAGAGACAAUUUUGAAUAAAGAACUCACCAAGCCACAAGAAUCUUUUGUUCAUUCCAGGGUGAAUGUAAGAUUCAUUAUAAGUAAUACCUUUUCAUAUUUAUCUUUAAACAGAUUUGAAAAUAUAUUAACUUUAUUUUUUUCAUCUUAAAUUCUUGAAUUUCAGUACUGAUAGAUACAGAGUACGAACCAUUGGUUCCAAAAGAAGAGAAAUCAAAACUGCAAAUACUGUGUUUCAAUCUAAGGUGGAAAAGGCUUUUGGUACUGGCUACAGUUUGGGUACUUUUCACAGUUAUUCAAGUCAUCAAGAAUGAUGUGGUUCCCUGUACCACUUUGUAUUGGGUAUUGUUUUGCUUACAGUUCCCCAUAGCAACACUGGUUUUUGGAUAUGAAGCAACUAAAUUAUACAAAGAACAUAAGAAGAGAAUGAGCACUGGGAACGCUGAAACAGUUUGUGGAGCUUCAAUUCAAUGGAGUCCAUUGAACAUUGCAUUUUGUGCACUUUGUGGCAUCUUGGGAGGCACUGUUGGUGGAUUGCUUGGUUCUGGUGGUGGAUUCAUUUUGGGUCCUCUCCUCCUUGAAAUUGGUGUGAUUCCACAGGUGGCUAGUGCAACAGCAACAUUCGUAAUGAUGUUCUCUUCAUCCUUGUCCGUUGUUGAAUUCUAUUUGCUUAAGAGGUUUCCAAUGCCCUAUGCUUUGUACUUGAUGGGAGUAUCUAUUUUGGCUGGUUUCUGGGGACAGUAUUUCGUGAGAAAACUAAUAACAAUCCUUAGGAGAGCUUCACUUAUAGUGUUCAUCCUAUCUGGUGUCAUCUUUGCAAGUGCUCUCACCAUGGGAGUCAUUGGCAUUGAGAGAAGCAUUCGAAUGAUUCACAACCAUGAGUUCAUGGGGUUUUUAGAUUUUUGCAGCAGUCAAUGAUCGUUGACUAAGUAAGGAUGUUGUUGGUCAUCACCUUGUUGACCAAUCCCAACAUAUUCUAUGUCUCGUAAGAAUAAAGAAUUCCAUCAAAUGUGUGGUUGUGGAAUGUGACUGUUAGCUUCUGGCUAACACCCCAUUCUUCAUUUAUCUUCUGUUUAAUUGCAUAUUUAUUAUUCAAGUUUCCUGGUUUUGGAAAUCAAAUAAACAUAUUCAAAACCUCAUAAUUACAAUAUAUAGACUUAUAGCUUGAAUUCAA